CUAUGCCUUUCCUUGUGGGCUGAUGGACUUAUCCACACAUCCCUAAAGCCUGCUGAGAUCCUCUACCUAACUGUGGCCUAUGACUGGUUCCUCUUUGGGAGGAAGAGUUUGCCAGCCCGGGAUGCAGGCUUCACUCUGGAAGAUAUCUGUAUGCUGAGAGGAAGAGCCAUUCAUUCUCUCCACAGAGCGUGCUCUGGAACCAGCCACAGCCCUCAGAGGACCGCCUGCCUUCCCACCAGGGGCUGGGGGAAGCCAAGUCUUCUAGUUCCUCAUCCUCGAACCAGGAUGGGUAGCAGUCUCCUGGAGGUCCCCAAGCCCAGAUCAGUAGACUAUCCCCUGCCCGGAUCCUCUCUCCACAGACUUUGGCAGCUGGCAGAUGGUAACAGACUGUGGCAGUAUUCAGGAAUGGGCUGUCCUGCACACAGACUCCUCUCUCCCUUUCAGCUUCCCCAAUGA
rnacentral:lncRNA from 1 species